UGGGGAAUAUUGGGCAAUGGAGGAAACUCUGACCCAGCAACGCCGCGUGAAGGAAGAAGGUUUUCGGAUCGUAAACUUCUAUCCUUGGUGAAAAUAAAAGAUGGUAGCCAAGAAGGAAGCCCCGGCUAACUACGUGCCAGCAGCCGCGGUAAUACGUAGGGGGCAAGCGUUGUCCGGAAUGAUUGGGCGUAAAGGGCGCGUAGGCGGCCUGGUAAGUCUGGAGGGAAAGUCCUGCGUUUAAGGUGGGAAUUGCUUUGGAUACUGUCGGGCUUGAGUGCAGGAGAGGUAAGUGGAAUUCCCUGUGUAGCGGUGAAAUGCGUAGAGAUCGGGAGGAACACCAGUGGCGAAGGCGACUUACUGGACUGUAACUGACGCUGAGGCGCGAAAGUGUGGGGAGCAAACA
rnacentral:rRNA from 1 species